UACGUAGGGUGCGAGCGUUGUCCGGAAUCAUUGGGCGUAAAGGGCGCGUAGGUGGUGGGGUAAGUCGGAUGUGAAAUCCCGGGGCUCAACCCCGGAACUGCAUUCGAUACUGCCUUGCUCGAGUACUGGAGAGGAGACUGGAAUUUACGGUGUAGCAGUGAAAUGCGUAGAUAUCGUAAGGAAGACCAGUGGCGAAGGCGAGUCUCUGGACAGUUACUGACACUGAGGCACGAAGGCCAGGGGAGCAAACGGG
rnacentral:rRNA from 1 species